rnacentral:rRNA from 1 species
GACGAACGCUGGCGGCGUGCUUAACACAUGCAAGUCGAGCGGUAAGGCCCUUUCGGGGGUACGACGAGCGGCGAACGGGUGAGUAACACGUGGGUGACCUGCCCUUAGCUCUGGGAUAAGCCUGGGAAACUGGGUCUAAUACCGGAUAUGACUCCAUAACGCAUGUUGUGGGGUGGAAAGCCUUGUGCGGCUAGGGAUGGGCCCGCGGCCUAUCAGCUUGUUGGUGGGGUGAUGGCCCAACCAAGGCGACGACGGGUAGCCGGCCUGAGAGGGCGACCGGCCACACUGGGACUGAGACACGGCCCAGACUCC